GCUAACGGCCAUACCGCUCUGAUCAAGCCCGAUCUCGUCUGAUCUCGGAAGCUACGCAAAGACGGGCAUAGGUAGUACUUGAAUGGAGAGACUGCUUGGGAAUACCGUGUGCUGUAAGUU
rnacentral:rRNA from 1 species